CAUAAAAAUAAAAAAAUACAAAUACAAAAAUACAAAUACAAUUAUCGAAACACAAAUAUAAGGUAUUCAGAAGAUGUAAUAUAUAGUGUAAAAUCUGUGAUGUUGUGUGCCCCUUUAAGAGGCGGGGCCUGGGAACUGACAUGUGUGAUAUCAGUUUGCUACAGUUGUUGUUUGUUACUAUGGUUUGUUUUAUGGUUUACUAGGGUGCCGUGUGCCAGUGAUUGAAGUGUGUUGUUGCUCCUGUGUGAAUAUUAACUGCAUAUGUGUGCUCUCCACAGUUACAGAAGUAUUCUAUUAUUAUGACCUCUUGGUGUCAGGAAUGUUCCAUUGAUGAGACAAUAGCCACCAAGUAUGCUGUCAUUGUGUGAGUCAAAUGUGAGGCUAUGUACUGUAUUUUCCCCUCUACAAGGCGCACUUAAAAGCCUGGAGGAUUAACAAAAGAACUCCAACCACUGGACAAAAUGGAGUUGCGAGCAGCACCGGGCGACUUACUGCUUUAACUGUUUGCUUUGGCGAAAGCUGGCAUCGUUGCUGAACAGCCACCUAACAACGAAACUGACUCCAACAAUGAUGAGAGUGAACCUGACAUGUUUGAUGGAGAACAUUGCCCACCUGUUUGAUUCAGACACAGAAGAUAAGGACUUUGAUGGAUUUGUAGGAGAAUAUUAAUUAAAAAUACGAGGAGUGUAUUGUUAAACGGUAGAAUUUAACUCACUGCUUUUCUUCCGUUGCCUAUUUUUUUUUGUAAACCGCAUGACCUUAUAAUACGGUGCAACUUAUAUGUGUUAAGUACAGAAAUAGACCCCGUAAUUGAGACUGUGUUUUAUAAUGUGGUGUGCCUGAUGGUGUGGAAAAUAUCGUAAUGUCUUAUUUAUGUAAAAUAUUACUUAUUUUCCAUUAUUAUGUAAUCUACAUAUCGGCAAUACAAGUGUGAAAGUGAUUUAAAUCGCUCAUUUUAAUUUGAAAUUUACUUACGGUCUGUUUGGUUCCAAAAAGACUGUAAAGGGGGGGGGGUUAAUUUGGUAUUUUUUGGAAAAUUUGUACAUGAUGUAAGCUGCAAUGCAAAUAUGAUUGCCCCAUUGUAUUUAACAUGUGUGCCUGUCAAGCUAAAGGGUGAGUCACAUGGGUAUCCAUGACACAUUGUAAUGACGAUGUGCCUGGAAUAGAAAAAAAGGAUGAAGCCGGCAUUUUGUCAUGAAGAUAACCCACGGCAGAAAGCUCUAUGUAGUCCCACAUGAAAUGACACUACCAUCCAGGGAUUUGGGUUGAAAAUUGUGAUCCCAACGCUUCCAGGCUAUAAUCUGGUCCACUUUCUUUGAAAGAAUCCCAAUGGGAUCUCAGGACCUUGAAAUGCCAUCAUUAAAGUAACCCACUCAGUUAAA